rnacentral:rRNA from 1 species
GAGCCUGAGAAACGGCUACCACAUCCAAGGAUGGCAGCAGGCGCGCAAAUUACCCAAUCCCGACACGGGGAGGUAGUGACAAUAAAUAACAAUACGGGGUUCUUUCGGAUCUCGUAAUUGGAAUGAGUACAAUUUAAAUCUCUUAACGAGGAACAAUUGGAGGGCAGGUCUGGUGCCAGCAGCCGCGGUAAUUCCAGCUCCAAUAGCGUAUAUUAAAGUUGUUGCAGUUAAAAAGCUCGUAGUUGAAUUUCGGGGUUAGUAGGUUGGUCAUGCCUCUGGUAUGUACUGAUCUCACUGAUUCCUCCUUCCUGAUGAACCGUAAUGCCAUUAAUUUGGUGUUGCGGGGAAUUUGGACUGUUACUUUGAAAAAAUUAGAGUGUUUAAAGCAAGCUAACGCUUGAAUACAUUAGCAUGGAAUAAUGAAAUAGGACGUUCGAUCCUAUUUUGUUGGUUUCUAGGAUUGACGUAAUGAUUAAUAGGGAUAGUUGGGGGCAUUAGUAUUCAAUUGUCAGAGGUGAAAUUCUUGGAUUUAUUGAAGACUAACUACUGCGAAAGCAUUUGCCAAGGAUGUUUUCAUUAAUCAAGAACGAAAGUUAGGGGAUCGAAGACGAUCAGAUACCGUCGUAGUCUUAACCAUAAACUAUGCCGACUAGGGAUCGGAUGAUGUUAAUUUUUUAAUGACUCAUUCGGCGCCUUACG